rnacentral:rRNA from 1 species
GACGAACGCUGGCGGCGUGCCUAAUACAUGCAAGUCGAACGAACAGACGAGGAGCUUGCUCCUUUGACGUUAGCCGCGGACGGGUGAGUAACACGUGGAUCACCUACCUAUAAGACUGGUAUAACUUCGGGAAACCGGAUCUAAUCCCGGAUAAUAUAUUGAACCGCAUGGUUCAUUAGUGAAUGACGGUUUUGCUGUCUCUAGUAGAUGGAUCCCCGCCGCAUUAGCUAGUUGGUAAGGUAAAGGGUUACCACGGCAAGGAUGCGUGGACGACGUGAGAGGGUGAUCGGCCACACUGGAACUGAGACACGGUCCAGAGUCCUACGGGAGGCAGCAGUAGGGAAUCUUACGCAGUGGGCGGAAGCCUUACAGAACAACGCGGCGUCAGUUAUGACGAUCUUCGGAUCGUAAAGCUCUGUUAUUGGGGAAGAACAAAUGUGUAAGUAACUAAGCACGUCGUGACGGUACCUAGUCAGAAAGCAACGGCUAACUACGUG